UCGCUCUAAGAGAGAAGGUUAGCACUCCCCUUGAUAAGGAUGGAAAAGAUCCUAGUGGCCUUUACAACACAUAUAAGGUUAAGGCAUUGCCACCUAUUCUGUGGCAUCUAACCACUCUUA
rnacentral:ncRNA from 1 species